rnacentral:rRNA from 1 species
AGUGAACGCUGGCGGUAGGCCUAACACAUGCAAGUCGAACGGCAGCACAGUAAGAGCUUGCUCUUACGGGUGGCGAGUGGCGGACGGGUGAGGAAUACAUCGGAAUCUACUUUUUCGUGGGGGAUAACGUAGGGAAACUUACGCUAAUACCGCAUACGACCUACGGGUGAAAGCAGGGGAUCUUCGGACCUUGCGCGAUUGAAUGAGCCGAUGUCGGAUUAGCUAGUUGGCGGGGUAAAGGCCCACCAAGGCGACGAUCCGUAGCUGGUCUGAGAGGAUGAUAAGCCACACUGGAACUGAGACACGGACCAGACUCCUACGGGAGGCACCAGUGGGGAAUAUUGGACAAAGGGGGCAAGCCUGAUCCAGUCAGACCACGUGGGUGAAGAAGGCCUUCGGGUUGUAAAGCCCUUUUGUUGGGAAAGAAAAGCAGCAGGUUAAUACCCCGCUGUUCUGACGGUACCCAAAGAAUAAGCACCGGCUAACUUCGUG